GACGAACGCUGGCGGCGUGCUUAACACAUGCAAGUCGAACGGAAAGGCCCUGCUUGCAGGGUGCUCGAGUGGCGAACGGGUGAGUAACACGUGGGUGAUCUGCCCCUUACUUUGGGAUAAGCCUGGGAAACUGGGUCUAAUACUGGAUAGGACCAUGCUGUAGGUGGUGUGGUGGAAAGAUUAGUUUCGGUAAGGGAUGAGCUCGCGGCCUAUCAGCUUGUUGGUGGGGUAAUGGCCUACCAAGGCGUCGACGGGUAGCCGGCCUGAGAGGGGGGACGGCGACAUUGGGACUGAGGUACGGCCCAGACUCCUACGGGAGGCAGCAGUGGGGAAUAUUGCACAAUGGGCGCAAGCCGGAUGCAGCGACGACGCGUGGGGGAUGACGGCCUUCGGGUUGUAAACUCCUUUCAGCCAUGACGAAGCCCUUGUGGUGACGGUAGUGGUAGAAGAAGCACCGGCUAACUACGUG
rnacentral:rRNA from 1 species